rnacentral:rRNA from 1 species
GACAAACGCUGGCGGAAUGUAUUAGGCAUGCAAGUCGCACGAACCUUCGGGUUAGUGGCGGACGGGUGAGUAACACGUGGGUAACCUGCCUCGUAGUGGGGAAUAACUCGCCGAAAGGCGAGCUAAUACCGCAUAUAACUCCUGGUGAGAAUCCGGGAAGUAAAAGCUCCGGCGCUACGAGAGGGGCCCGCGGCCGAUUAGCUUGUUGGUGGGGUAAUGGCCUACCAAGGCGACGAUCGGUAGCUGGUCUGAGAGGAUGGUCAGCCACACGGGGACUGAGAUACGGCCCCGACUCCUACGGGAGGCAGCAGCUAAGAAUCUUGCGCAAUGGGCGAAAGCCUGACGCAGCAAUUCCGCGUGGAGGACGAAGGCCUUCGGGUUGUAAACUGCUUUUGUACGGAGCGAAAAAGCUCUCUCUAAUACAGGGAGUUCAUGACGGUACCGUAAGAAUAAGCACCGGCUAACUACGUG